rnacentral:ncRNA from 1 species
GCCGAGAGGGCGGAGAAUAAAAUACCCGAAAGGGGAAUAAUCCCGACCGUUCCUUUGGCGGUUUUCGAACCUCUUGGCAACCCUAU